rnacentral:rRNA from 1 species
AUUGAACGCUGGCGGCAUGCCUUACACAUGCAAGUCGAACGGCAGCACGGAGAGCUUGCUCUCUGAUGGCGAGUGGCGAACGGGUGAGUAAUGCAUCGGAACGUACCGUGUAAUGGGGGAUAACGUAGCGAAAGUUACGCUAAUACCGCAUACGACCUGAGGGUGAAAGCAGGGGAUCGCAAGACCUUGCGUUAUACGAGCGGCCGAUGUCAGAUUAGCUAGUUGGUAGGGUAAAGGCCUACCAAGGCGACGAUCUGUAGCGGGUCUGAGAGGAUGAUCCGCCACACUGGGACUGAGACACGGCCCAGACUCCUACGGGAGGCAGCAGUGGGGAAUUUUGGACAAUGGGGGCAACCCUGAUCCAGCCAUGCCGCGUGAGUGAAGAAGGCCUUCGGGUUGUAAAGCUCUUUCGGCCGGGAAGAAAUCGCACAGGCUAAUACUCUGUGUGGAUGACGGUACCGGCAUAAGAAGCACCGGCUAACUACGUGCCAGCAGCCGCGGUAACAC